rnacentral:lncRNA from 1 species
ACAAUAUGCCCAUAAAAAUGAAACCAAUUCAUUAUCUUCAAUACCAUAUGAAGAACAAAAAAACAGUAGGAGAGAAUUGCCUUAAAAUACCGGAACUUCGAGUAGCCGACUCAAAUGACAGGAUAAUAAGAUAAUUGGACGAGGAAACCAUUGAAGUUCACGAAGAAAGGCCUCCUCUAUCUAAUUCUGCCAUAUCAUUUUAAAUAUAAGGUGGAAGCGAGAAAGCAGCUUAACUCGGCCGAUGAAGAACGCGGUCCAACAAUUUUUUCAAAAAAGCUUGCAAACCUUGCGCUGGAAAGAGCUGCUGUUCGUGACCUCCUCAUCCAAGAACGGAAUCUUCAACAAGGAUGCUAUUUGAGAUACACUAACCCGCAUACUAAUACUGAGAAAAUUUAAAAAUUUCAGAGGCAAUUUACACUGUCAAAACUAAGGACAAACAGCAGAAGUCAACUCACAAUAUCAUAAGCCUUCUCUCACGCCAUGUGUUGCGCCGUCGUAACUUGAGAAUUGAGCAUCUGAA